rnacentral:rRNA from 1 species
UACGUAGGGGGCUAGCGUUGUCCGGAAUUAUUGGGCGUAAAGCGCGUGUAGGCGGCUUUGCAAGUCGGGUGUGAAAGCCCUCAGCUCAACUGAGGAAGUGCGCCCGAAACUGCAGAGCUUGAGUGCCGGAGAGGGUGGCGGAAUUCCCCAAGUAGAGGUGAAAUUCGUAGAUAUGGGGAGGAACACCGGUGGCGAAGGCGGCCACCUGGACGGUAACUGACGCCGAGACGCGAAAGCGUGGGUAGCAAACAGG